rnacentral:rRNA from 1 species
AACGAACGCUGGCGGCAGGCCUAACACAUGCAAGUCGAGCGCGCCCUUCGGGGUGAGCGGCGGACGGGUGAGUAACGCGUGGGAACGUGCCCUUUUCUACGGAAUAGCCUCGGGAAACUGAGAGUAAUACCGUAUACGCUCUUCGGGGGAAAGAUUUAUCGGAAAAGGAUCGGCCCGCGUUGGAUUAGGUAGUUGGUGGGGUAAUGGCCUACCAAGCCGACGAUCCAUAGCUGGUCUGAGAGGAUGAUCAGCCACACUGGGACUGAGACACGGCCCAGACUCCUACGGGAGGCAGCAGUGGGGAAUCUUAGACAAUGGGGGCAACCCUGAUCUAGCCAUGCCGCGUGAGUGAUGAAGGCCUUAGGGUUGUAAAGCUCUUUCAGCUGGGAAGAUAAUGACGGUACCAGCAGAAGAAGCCCCGGCUAACUCCGUG